UACAGAGGGUGCAAGCGUUAAUCGGAUUUACUGGGCGUAAAGCGUGCGUAGGCGGUUCAUUAAGUCGGUUGUGAAAUCCCCGGGCUCAACCUGGGACCUGCAUUUGUGACUGCAUCGCUGGAGUGCGGCAGAGGGGGAUGGAAUUCCGCGUGUAGCAGUGAAAUGCGUAGAUAUGCGGAGGAACACCGAUGGCGAAGGCAAUCCCCUGGGCCUGCACUGACGCUCAUGCACGAAAGCGUGGGGAGCAAACAGG
rnacentral:rRNA from 1 species